UAGGGAAUAUUGGGCAAUGGGCGAAAGCCUGACCCAGCAACGCCGCGUGAAUGACGAAGGCCUUCGGGUUGUAAAGUUCUGUCGCAGGGGACGAAGAAUGACGGUACCCUGUAAGAAAGCCACGGCAAACUACGUGCCAGCAGCCGCGGUAAUACGUAGGUGGCGAGCGUUGUCCGGAAUGACUGGGCGUAAAGGGAGCGUAGGCGGCUUUUUAAGUUGGCUGUGAAAUCCCGGGGCUUAACCCCGGAAUUGCAGCCAAAACUGGAGAGCUGGAGUGCGGGAGAGGGAAGCGGAAUUCCUAGUGUAGCGGUGGAAUGCGUAGAUAUUAGGAGGAACACCGGUGGCGAAGGCGGCUUUCUGGACCGUAACUGACGCUGAGGCUCGAAAGCGUGGGGAGCAAACAGGAUUAGAUACCCUGGUAGUCCACGCCCUAAACGAUGGAUACUAGAUGAAGGCGGUAUCGACUCCGCCUGUGUCGCAGCAAACGCGCUAAGUAUCC
rnacentral:rRNA from 1 species